AAGUCGUAACAAGGUUUCCGUAGGUGAACCUGCGGAAGGAUCAUUAACGAGCUAGGGUCUCUCGCGGCCCGACCUCCCAACCCUUUGUCUACUUGACCACUGUUGCUUCGGCGAGCCCGUCUGUUAUGGACCGCCGGGGGGUUACCUUAAUCGGCCCUCUGGUCAGCGCUCGUCGAUAGCCAAAUUUUUUAAAAUCUUAACUAAACGUGCCUCAAUCUAAGUACUAUUUGUUAAAUAAAAGCAAAACUUUCAACAACGGAUCUCUUGGUUCUG
rnacentral:misc_RNA from 1 species